AUGACGGUCCGAUCAGGAGAUCAGGAACUGAGAGAAGAUGGGGAGGAAAGGGAUGUCCUUAGAACUCAUCCGGCUGAUACAUCUGAUGGAGAGAGCCUGAGUAAGAGCGGAACGCCCAGCGGUUCUGGAGUCAAGUCCAGCAUCAGAGAGCAGAUUCCAGGAGUGACGAAGAAUGAAGCCACAACAACAGCCCCAUCUGUCUAUCCGCUGGCUCCUGGAGGCACCCCUGACUCCACCACGGUGACCCUGGGAUGCCUGGUCAAGGGCUAUUUCCCUGAGCCAGUGACCGUGAGCUGGAACUCUGGAGCCCUGACCAGCGGCGUGCACACCUUCCCAUCGGUCCUGCAUUCUGGGCUCUACUCCCUCAGCAGCUCAGUGACUGUACCUUCCAGCACCUGGCCCAGCCAGACCGUCACCUGCAAUGUAGCCCACCCGGCCAGCAGCACCAAGGUGGACAAGAAAAUCGAGCCCAGAUCAUGUACUUCUCUACCUACUCUGUGUCCCAAGUGUCCAGCUCCUGACCUCUUGGGUGGACCAUCCGUCUUCAUCUUCCCCCCAAAUCCCAAGGAUGUGCUCACGAUCUCCCUGACCCCCAAGGUCACGUGCGUGGUGGUGGACGUGAGCGAGGAUGAACCAGACGUCCAGUUCAACUGGUUUGUAAACAAUGUAGAAGUGAAGACAGCUGAGACACAGCCCCGGCAGCAGCAGUUCAACAGCACCUACCGCGUGGUCAGCUCCCUCCCCAUCCAGCACCAGGACUGGCUGAGCAGCAAGGAGUUCAAAUGCAAGGUCAACAACAAAGCCCUCCCGAGCCCCAUUGAGAAAACCAUCUCCAAACCCAGAGGGCAAGCCCGAAUACCACAGGUAUAUACCCUUCCUCCGCCUACGGAACAGAUGACCCAGAAGGUGGUCAGCCUGACCUGCAUGAUCACAGGCUUCUUCCCCGCGGACGUCCAUGUGGAGUGGGAGAAAAAUGGGCAACCAGAGCAGAACUACAAGAACACCUCGCCUGUCUUGGACACCGACGGUUCUUACUUCAUGUACAGCAAGCUCAAUGUGCCCAAGAGCAGUUGGGAACAGGGAAAUAUCUACGUCUGCUCCGUGCUACAUGAGGCUCUGCGUAACCACCACACAACGAAGGCCAUCUCCCGGUCUCUGGGUAAUUGAGCUCAGCACCCGGAAAGCUCUUAGGUCCUAAGCAACACUGGCACCCUCCUCCACCCUUCCCUUGUAUAAAUAAAGCACCCAGUACUUGCCCUGG